UAUUUAUUUAUUUAUUUCUUUGUUAAAGUCUUUUUCUCCAAGUCUCAGCUGCAGGGGCAUUUUGGUCUUUGUUUUGUACCAGAGCCAACCCUAAUUUGUCACUAUAAAAACCCUGUCAAUCAUUGGGAAAUGGGUCAGAGAAAAAAUCACUGUAGCAGCUGCAGCAACCACCAUCAGAAACCCUAAUCUUUCAUCUCUCCCAACUUUUUCAGAUCAAAGAAAAAUAAAAAAUACACAACAAUCAUCAUGAAUAUUCAUAGCCAUGCAUCAUGAACAUUAUCCUCUUCCAUUCCAGGAACCAAAAUUCUUCAUAAUAAUAAACCAACAAAAACACUUUCUCACAAAAAUCAUCAAUAAACAAGUCACAUAACACCACAAUCACAAACAACAUCACACAAUCACAACAAAAAAAAAAAACUUGCGCCGGACCGGAUUCAAGGGAGGAAACCGAACCGGAAAAGGAAAGAAACGGAACGGAGAAAGCCACCAGACCAAAGGGAGAAAACCGGAUCGGAGAGAGAGAGAGAGGUAGUUUUUUUUUGCUCAUUUUCUUUGAAUAUUCUUUGUUAGAUCUAGGCUUGUAGAAGCUUGUUUUCAAAAAUCUAAGUUGGGAUUCAUGCAAAACAAGAAAAAGGAUUUCUAAAAACGUAAAAAAUUUCAAAACGGAGGAGUUUUGGUUGCUCCGGCGCGGCGGCGCCGCCUGUUGGCCGGCAGCCACCACGCCGGAAAGUCAUAGCUUGGCCGGAGAAGAAGGCUGCAAUUGCAGACCUUCUCUCACUAGAAAUUUUUAGAGAGAGGGAGGAAAGGAAAAAUAGAAAAAACCGGUCCCUAUUGCCUUUUAUAAGCAUGUGUGAACCGGUCUGGUUCACUUGAACCGGACCGGUCCAUUUGAUUCCUUUCACCUUUCUUUCUAAACCUUUAGAUCCUUUUCUUUUUUUAAUCCGACGGUCUAGAUUAGUUCCUGUUGAGUCAUUUUUUUUAUUUCCUUUUGUCUUUAUUUUUAAAUACUAUUUUUACAUUUUUUUGACAUUUUUGUGCUUAGAAAAAAUUCCAAAAAAAAUAUUUUUCUCACUAUUUUAAUUUUCUCUAAUUUUAAAAAUCCAUCCUAUUUGUUUUCUUUUAAUUUUUUUGUUUAUUUCUUAUAUGAUGAUAUUAAUUAUUAUUUGUCUUAAUUCUUGCUCAUUAUUUCUUAUGUCUCAUUCAUCAUAAUAUUUCUUGUGAUUACUAACCAUUUAAUUUUUGUCUUGAAUCAUAGCAUACACAUUUAAUUUUCCCAUCAUUUUAUUUUGUCAUUGACUUAGUGUGUAUAAAUAGGAAAUUGAUGUAAUUUUAUUUCUUGCAUUUUUAUUUUGGCAUAAAGGCCUUAGGGUUGUAUUUAGGAAUUGAUGUAAUAAUGUAGGUAACACAAGCACCGACACAUGCACCGACACUACCACAUUUUUAUUUACCGCUUUCCGUUAGUUUUUUUUUUACGACGUUACGUUAGUUUUCACCGUUAGUUUAGAAAAAUCAUUUUCUCAAAAAAAAAAUCGAAUAUGCGGAACUUCAAAAAUCAUUUUCUUAAUAACAUUUUUCCUUUAUUUUCUUAAUCAAAUUCUCAAUCAAUUUUAAUUCAACUUCAAUCAUUUUCAAAAUUUAAAAUCAAUCAACCUCACUUGUUUUCUUUAUCUCAUGCCUUGAGGCCUCUUUCUCUUCUUAAAACCCAUUUUCGAAAAAUCUUAAAAUCAACCUAACCCACCAAAGAAAUUCUUGAGUGGAACUACGUCGGUUUUGAUCCCUUUCCCAAAAAGGGUACGUAGGCAGAGGACAUGUCCUUCCAAAUCAAAUAAAAAUAACCAAAAACAUACUUCUUCUCCCUCCAUUCUUUCACUUAGAUUUUAGGUAAUAUUUUUUCAAAUAAACAAGUAGUUUAGCACAAGAUAAUCUAAGUAAGAGGUUCCUAUGGAAUACCAUAGACGCUUAGGAUGCUAACACCUUCCCUUCGCGUAACCAACCCCCGAAUCCAAAGUCUCGAAAGGGUUUUUACUCAUUUUUUCCCUUCCCAAGAAUAAAAAUCGAGAGUUCAAAGAUCGACGAUUCAAAUCAAUUAAUGGUUUGACAUCCGAAAAUCGCGAGCACAGAAAUGGCGACUUCACUGGGGACAUAGGUCCUAUGCGGGUUAAACCCAUCUUACUUUCUUUAUUUUGUGCUUUAUUAUUUGUUUAUAUCUUGUAAAUAUUUGUUUACAUGUUUACCUUAUUACGUGAGGGGUGAGAAAAUAAGCUCUACACCCGAGCUUGAGGGAAAUGUAAGAUAAGAGUGGUAGACUCAUAGUGGCAUACCGAGAGUAUACUCGUGUCUUGUCACACGUGAGAUAACCACACUUAGCAAAGGAGAUUGAAGUAAUAAAUGUCGGCGUGUGUUUUCACGUUUAGACUUUAUUACUUUUAAUCUUCCAAUGAAGCUAAGAACCUUUAGUAACCCUUAACCCAUCUUGGCCUUUUAGGACGUAGUGCGGUGGCUAACCGGGUGUUUUCUCGGAAUUAGUCGAUACGCGAUACUACACUCAAAUGAGACUUUCCUACGAACGUUGCUGGACCGGGUGUUUUCUCGGUAUCCGAUAAUAUUCGGAAGUGGUCGAGGAUUUUGGGAACCUUGGUAGAACCCGUGAUACAGGUACAUUUUAAACCAUAGUCCUUACCAAAUGGCGUUGUUACCCUCGACUCCAACAUGUGGACUUAACAUCACCAUGUAUUCUAUGUACUUUAGCAUAAUCAUGCAUACAUGCAUUCAUUCAUAAACAACUUUUUUUCCAUCAAAAAUUGAAGGACUUAGACAAGUUUUUUGCAAACAUCAUGGGUAUGGACUUUGUAAGAAUGAACACCAAGAGAUACAACUUCAAAAAAAUCUUAACUAAACUUUAGCUUUUGUUAAGAACUUUUUCUUUGGUUUCGAUCUUACCUUUCGAAAAAGAACCUUUUGCAAUAUCUUCAUAAUUUUCAAAUGAAACCAUGUUUCUCUACCAUGUUUAAAAAUUAACUUUGAUAAGUCCUUCAAAAAAAAAAACAUUUUUGCAUACAUAUAUCAUGCAUCAUUUUUUUUUUUUCAUUCAUAGUUUCUAGUUUGUGUCUCAUACUGUAUCUUCUCCAUAAGAGGUCUAUCCGUCGGUCUAAUCGCAUCUACAACACUCGAGCAAAUCAGAAUGGAUCAUCUUGAAGAAGAGAACCACAAGCUUCGUGAAGAGGUGACAACCCUCCGGGCCGAGAAUGAGAUUUUAAGGAACUUAGUAUCUUUGAUGACGAUGGCACAGAGACAACCAUUAUCUCAUCCUGUUGUCAGCACUCAGGCUCAGACGGUUGCUUCCACUACCCCGAUUUCAACAGUGUUUGCUAGUAGUCCUCAACAGGCUAUGCUUGAAGGUUAUCUAUGGGGCACACCCUUUGGUUCUAGUGAAGUAUUUCGUCCUGAUGACUCUAAGGUUCAAGCUCCUUUUGUGCAACUGACAACGCCUAUCCCUCAACCGGUUCCUUUGUUCCCUCAAGCUGCUAUGAUUCAUACUACUCAACAAGGCCAUAAACCAAUCUAUCAUUCAGGAAAGGUGGUUGCAUACGACCGGACAGCUGAGCUGGAAGAAAGGUUUGACAGAAUACAAUUGGAAUUGAAAACUCUUCGUGGGAAAGAACUGUUUGGGAAAAAUGCUUAUGAUCUUUGCUUGGUUCCCAAUGUCGUGAUACCACCCAAGUUCAAAGUCCCUAAUUUUGAGAAAUAUCAAGGAAACACUUGUCCUGAGCUUCAUUUGGUAAUGUACGUGAGAAAGAUGUCUGCUCAAGUAGGUAAUGAUGGGCUCCUUAUCCACUGUUUCCAAGAUAGUUUGACUGGUGCCGCACUGAUAUGGUAUAUGGGCCUACACAAGGUUGAUAUCAAAACGUUCAAUGAUUUGUGUGAGGCUUUCGUCCAGCGAUAUAACUACAACUUGCAUUUAGCCCCAAACAGAAAGGAACUGCAAGCCAUGACCAUGAAUGAUAAUGAAUCUUUCAAAGCUUAUGCCCAACGGUGGAGAGACGUCGCUGCACAGGUUCGUCCACCUCUAGAAGAGAAAGAAUUUACCGAGAUUUUCCUGGAGACUCUGGAUCAGUUCUAUUAUGAGCAUAUGCUUACAAGUGCAUCCGGCAGCUUCGUAAACAUGAUGACUGUGGGCAUGCGUAUUGAAGAAUGGGUCCGAAAAGGACGAUUGGUCAAAGAAAGUGCUCCCACAGAUGAUUUUGAGUACGAAGAUCAGGAAAUGAGUGUGGUAGAAAGUCAGCCUCAACAACAGUAUCUGGCUUAUCACCCUGCUGCCGCUGUUAUGCCUAUCAUAGAUGUUGUUCAAAGUUCGGGUUAUCAACCCCAGUUUCAACAAUAUCAACAACAGCCUCGACAACAGGCCCCAAGGACACAGAUUGAUCCUAUUCCCAUGAAGUAUGCAGAUUUGUUUCCAAAGUUGCUCGAAAGGAAUUUGGUCUACACCAAGGCACCUCCUCCAAUGCCAGCAAAGUUGACAUCCCGGUACAGGCCCGACCUCUUUUGUGCUUUCCAUCAAGGGGCACCAGGUCAUGAUAUUGAGCACUGCUUUGCAUUGCAGAAGGUAGUUCAGAAGUUGAUCCAAAAAAACCUCAUACCUUUCGAAGAGUUUGAAUUUGAAUAUGCAAGUUAAUCCGCUAUAGGAUUUUUACACCUUGUGUUGACUUGUGGAAUGUUUAGCUGCAAUUGGUUCUUUACUGAUGUUUAUUUCUAAUACUCUUUUGUUCAAUUAAUAUGUUUGUUUGUUGCUUUAUGUUUUUUCAAAAAAAAUCCUUUUGUCCCACCCGAGAUGAAAGUGAAUUCAUCUAGGGCUUUUUGCUUUAUGUAUUUUCAUCAUUAGUGAAAGGUCGCUUGAUCCCGACUUUGUUUUAUUUUGUGCUUUUUCUGGAAAAAUGGUAAUACAAAAAACCAAAAAAAAAAAAGAAUCCUUUUCUUUAAUCAUUUCCACAUAUCUGCAUAAUCAUAAUGUUUAUAUCAAUAAUCAAAUCAUGCAUUAAUAAACCCGUUGAACACUUUAAUCAUAUGCUCCCUCUCGACCUUGAGUUCCUUGUAUCCGAGGCUGAAUAAGAGGAUGAUGAAGAAGCUUCCACUGAGAUUUCUCGCCUACUGGGGCAUCUUGGCCGUCGAAGCUGCAAAUAUCAAAAGAGAUUGUCUAGAAGAGGACUUUCAUGUACAAAGACUGGCACGAGAUGCCACCAUUUUCCUUGCAAGGAUAUUGUACUUCAAGUGAACACUUCAGCAGGGGCAACCCCCCCUCCAUCCCUCAGUAUACAACAUAAAGGCAAUGCCUCACAUGAAGGUCAAAGUCCCAUCAACGGGAGUUCCAAUGAAAGCUAAGCUUGAUUGAAGUUAAAAGUGUUAUUGUUGUAUGGCGUGAACAAUUGUAUCAAAAGCAUGUUUUCAAUAAGAGAAGGCUCGUCCCCAUGAAUGUCAAGAGAGUGGCCUUGUGCUCAAAAGUUAUGCUAUCUGAUUUAAACAAGCUCCAGGAGCAAUGAAUGCCUAAUACAAAGCAUGAGUUUAAACUUGUAUGUCCUGUGAAUACUGAUGCAGUCAAGAAAUACUUUGUUAAAAUGAAAAAGCUCGAUAAGUCGCAAACCUGAAAAGGCGGCUUAGGCAAAAAAAAAAAGAGCGUCUCGAUGGACUGAAAACCCAAAAGGGCGGCCCAUGCAAAAGUUAGAGACAUAUAUAAAAAAAAUGUGUUUAUCCUGAUAGGUUGAAACCCGCAAGGGCGAUCUAUGCAAAAGUUAAGCAUCAUGACAAAGUAACUGCAUCUGGUCGGACAUGACUCAUAUGGGCCAUUUCAGCCGUCAAAAGACCUCCGACUCAUGGCAAGGUAAUUGCAUCAAAUCAGAUAUGAUUCAUCUGGGGCAUCUUAGCUGUUAAAGGGCUUCCGAUCUGAAAUGUCUGCAAAUCAAAGACUCAAAACAGUGGAAUUCAAAGUUGGUAGAGGAAACAGUGAUUAUUGUGUUCAACGUACCUUUUCCAUAUAAUUACCAUUUUUCCAAACUUUUAAAAUCUGUGGAACCACGCCUUUGGCAGGCCACCAUUCCAUUUACAUUAACUUGAGCUUAUGCCCAUUUAUUUGAAAUUCUCAUUUAUUCUAUUUUGCAAAUUUUCUUCUAUUUUUGAUGUUAAUAUGUAAAGCAAAAAAAAAUCUUUUAAAACUUUUUCAUGUCUUUUGAAAAGCAUAAACAACCAGUACAUGUUCUUUGAACUUAUGAGUAGGUGAAACAUACAUCAACAUCCGUCUCAAGGACAGUUAAACUCUGCAAGGUUGGCAUGACCAAAAGCUGAGAGAUGACCUCUGUAAAAAAAAAAAAAAAAAAAAAAAAAACUCAUUAAGUCGAAAACCCGAAAGGGCGGCUUAAGCCAAAAACGUGCGUCCCGGUGGAUUGAAAACCCGAAAAGGCAGUCCAGGCAAAAAUUAGGGGCAUACAAAAAAAAAAAGAGACAAUAUUCCCGGUGGAUCGAAAACCCAAAAGGGCGGUCCAGGCAAAAGUUAGGGAUUUUCAAAAAAACAAUAUAUACAAAAAAAAAUGAAAUAAAAAAAAUGGAAAAGACAGAGGCAUCACAGUUCCAAUGAGUCAAACAGAAGAAUACACCUUGAGUUUGGUUUACAAAUGGCGACUUCGGCCAGUGGUUUGAUUAAUGGCGACUUCUGCCAAAACAGGGGUUGAUAUCAUUCUAGUAGUUUGAUGAAUGGCAACCUCUACCUGCGGUCUGAUAAUUGGGUUUUACCCUUUCCUCUCAUCAGUGAUUGGAUAUCGAGCUUUACCCCGUCAGUGGUUUGAUUCAUCUCCAGUAAUACUAUCCCCAAUGAAGAUUGUCGAGUGUUUGUACUGCGAUGUCAGUCCGCCUUCCAUCUUACUUGUCUAGUCUUGACAGCUUCACUUGUUGUAUAGAGUCGUCUAAAUCAUGCAUUCAUACAGUCAUAUAUUCAUGUACUCAUACAUUCAUUCAUUUCAUAUAUACAUAUUCAUGCAUAUAAACAUUCUUGCACGCAUUGCAUGCAUAACAAAUACCAUUUAUACAUGAUUGCAUUGACUACCUUGUGUCUUACUUCAUUUGUAUCUCACAAAAACAUCGUCUCCAAUGUGUUUGACCCAGAAAUUUCACCCAGGGUCCUGUUUUGUCGUAUCCCUUCAAUUCAGUCUUCACUCAUUAUUGUGUCAAGCGAAUAGCUUGCAAACCUUUUUUGUUACCUGUGUGUCAAGCGAAUAGCUUGCAAACAUCUUUUGUUACAUGUGGGUCAAGUGAGUAGCUUGCAAUUAUCUGCUAUUACCUACGGGUCAAGCGAGUAGCUUGCAAAUAUCUUUUGUUACCUAUGCGUCAAGCGAGUAGCUUGCAAAUAUUUUUGUUUCAUGUGUGUCAAGCGAGUAGCUUGCAAACCUCUUUUGCUACCUAAGUGUCAAGCGAAUAGCUUGCAAACAACUUUUGCUUCAUUGUGUCAAGUGAAUAGCUUGCAAAAUACCUUCAGAGUCGGGUUGACACCCUGUCAAAUGCUUUUGAAUCAGGUUGAUACCUUGCAAUUGUUUUUGAAUCAGGUUAAUAGCCCGCAAAUACUUUUGUGUCAAACAACUACUUUACCAAUGUCUUUAUUUUUACCGUGUGUUUGCUAUCCCACAAUGUUAGUAAACCCUGUCGGUCCAUCAUGUCUUUACUUUCGCCACUCGUCGGCCAAUCAUGUCUUUACUUUCGCCACUGGUCGGCCAAUCAUGUCUUUACUUUCGCCACUCGUCGGCCAAUCAUGUCUUUACUUUCGCCACUCGUCGGCCAAUCAUGUCUUUACUUUCGCCACUCGUCGGCAAAUCAUGUCUUUACUUUCGCCACUCGUCGGCAAAUCAAUCAUGUCUUUACUUUCGCCACUCGUCGGCAAAUCAAUCAUGUCUUUACUUUCACCACUCGUCGGCAAUCAAUCAUGUCUUUACUUUCGUCUUGAAACAAUGUUAACAAACAUUAUCAUUCAUAGUUCAGUUGUUCCAAGUUAUCUCACAGCAAUCUUAAGCAUUACCUAUCAUUUCUUUCCCCAGUGAUAUUUAUCCAAUUGUCCCCCAAUCAGUCUUUUAUGCAUCAUCUUUACAUUCAUGCUUGUAUCAUGUGCAGUCAUAUCAUCACAUUCAUCAGCAUCGCAUAUCUGGCAUUUCAAACGGUCCAAAUUGGCGUCUUUUUAUAUUUAAGUCUCUUCGACCCUUUGGUUUAAAAGUUUUCCCUUUUAAAACCUUCGUGACGAAGAAACUUAAAUAGGGGCAUCUGUCAUACCCCAAAUUUGGACCAUUUAAAAUCUUUUUGUCCAUAUUUAAAAAUAGUCCACAUUCUCUUCUAUUUGUUUUUUUUACCAUUUAAAACUCGUGUUUUUCUUCUUUAAUCAUUUAAAAAACUUUUAUCUGCAUUUUUAUAACUGUUGGAGCGCAUUUUAUAAUCUUGUUAGUCAUAAUAAUCAAGUCAUUUUAAAAGGUUUAAUCAUAUUUUAAAAAUCGCGUCCUUUUAAUCAUUUCAACCGAAAUUUCGGCAGGGAGGAUACUUUGAAGUACCUCAUGUCAGGUUUCGAAGGGACUUUUUAUUUUUUUAUAUUUUAGUUUGUUUAUUAGUAUUUUUAUUUUAUUAAUUUUUUUUUUUUAAAAAAAAAAACAAAGAAAGGAAAGUCACGUGAGUGACUUUCUUUCUUCCUUCCUCUUUUCUUUUCUUUUUCUUAUUUAUUUAUUUAUUUCUUUGUUAAAGUCUUUUUCUCCAAGUCUCAGCUGCAGGGGCAUUUUGGUCUUUGUUUUGUACCAGAGCCAACCCUAAUUUGUCACUAUAAAAACCCUGUCAAUCAUUGGGAAAUGGGUCAGAGAAAAAAUCACUGUAGCAGCUGCAGCAACCACCAUCAGAAACCCUAAUCUUUCAUCUCUCCCAACUUUUUCAGAUCAAAGAAAAAUAAAAAAUACACAACAAUCAUCAUGAAUAUUCAUAGCCAUGCAUCAUGAACAUUAUCCUCUUCCAUUCCAGGAACCAAAAUUCUUCAUAAUAAUAAACCAACAAAAACACUUUCUCACAAAAAUCAUCAAUAAACAAGUCACAUAACACCACAAUCACAAACAACAUCACACAAUCACAACAAAAAAAAAAACUUGCGCCGGACCGGAUUCAAGGGAGGAAACCGAACCGGAAAAGGAAAGAAACGGAACGGAGAAAGCCACCAGACCAAAGGGAGAAAACCGGAUCGGAGAGAGAGAGAGAGGUAGUUUUUUUUUGCUCAUUUUCUUUGAAUAUUCUUUGUUAGAUCUAGGCUUGUAGAAGCUUGUUUUCAAAAAUCUAAGUUGGGAUUCAUGCAAAACAAGAAAAAGGAUUUCUAAAAACGUAAAAAAAUUUCAAAACGGAGGAGUUUUGGUUGCUCCGGCGCGGCGGCGCCGCCUGUUGGCCGGCAGCCACCACGCCGGAAAGUCAUAGCUUGGCCGGAGAAGAAGGCUGCAAUUGCAGACCUUCUCUCACUAGAAAUUUUUAGAGAGAGGGAGGAAAGGAAAAAUAGAAAAAACCGGUCCCUAUUGCCUUUUAUAAGCAUGUGUGAACCGGUCUGGUUCACUUGAACCGGACCGGUCCAUUUGAUUCCUUUCACCUUUCUUUCUAAACCUUUAGAUCCUUUUCUUUUUUUAAUCCGACGGUCUAGAUUAGUUCCUGUUGAGUCAUUUUUUUUAUUUCCUUUUGUCUUUAUUUUUAAAUACUAUUUUUACAUUUUUUUGACAUUUUUGUGCUUAGAAAAAAUUCCAAAAAAAAUAUUUUUCUCACUAUUUUAAUUUUCUCUAAUUUUAAAAAUCCAUCCUAUUUGUUUUCUUUUAAUUUUUUUGUUUAUUUCUUAUAUGAUGAUAUUAAUUAUUAUUUGUCUUAAUUCUUGCUCAUUAUUUCUUAUGUCUCAUUCAUCAUAAUAUUUCUUGUGAUUACUAACCAUUUAAUUUUUGUCUUGAAUCAUAGCAUACACAUUUAAUUUUCCCAUCAUUUUAUUUUGUCAUUGACUUAGUGUGUAUAAAUAGGAAAUUGAUGUAAUUUUAUUUCUUGCAUUUUUAUUUUGGCAUAAAGGCCUUAGGGUUGUAUUUAGGAAUUGAUGUAAUAAUGUAGGUAACACAAGCACCGACACAUGCACCGACACUACCACAUUUUUAUUUACCGCUUUCCGUUAGUUUUUUUUUUACGACGUUACGUUAGUUUUCACCGUUAGUUUAGAAAAAUCAUUUUCUCAAAAAAAAAAUCGAAUAUGCGGAACUUCAAAAAUCAUUUUCUUAAUAACAUUUUUCCUUUAUUUUCUUAAUCAAAUUCUCAAUCAAUUUUAAUUCAACUUCAAUCAUUUUCAAAAUUUAAAAUCAAUCAACCUCACUUGUUUUCUUUAUCUCAUGCCUUGAGGCCUCUUUCUCUUCUUAAAACCCAUUUUCGAAAAAUCUUAAAAUCAACCUAACCCACCAAAGAAAUUCUUGAGUGGAACUACGUCGGUUUUGAUCCCUUUCCCAAAAAGGGUACGUAGGCAGAGGACAUGUCCUUCCAAAUCAAAUAAAAAUAACCAAAAACAUACUUCUUCUCCCUCCAUUCUUUCACUUAGAUUUUAGGUAAUAUUUUUUCAAAUAAACAAGUAGUUUAGCACAAGAUAAUCUAAGUAAGAGGUUCCUAUGGAAUACCAUAGACGCUUAGGAUGCUAACACCUUCCCUUCGCGUAACCAACCCCCGAAUCCAAAGUCUCGAAAGGGUUUUUACUCAUUUUUUCCCUUCCCAAGAAUAAAAAUCGAGAGUUCAAAGAUCGACGAUUCAAAUCAAUUAAUGGUUUGACAUCCGAAAAUCGCGAGCACAAUUAGGUAUGUCAUCUUCCUAAGUAUCGUUACCUAAUGAUUAUUCGCUCCAGAGGAGACAAAUCUUACGUAAUAGGAAAAUUCAAUAGGAUUAAAAAAAACUGAAUAAAGAAUUUGAAUUAAAUAAUCCAACAAACAAAAUAGAAGUUAAUCUUAAAACUCUAGCCUAAAAAGGUUUAGUUACUCAUGGUAACUAAAGACAAAUUACAAUAGAAAUAAAACACACCCUAGAGACUUUGAGUGGGGAGAGAGACUCCUCCCUUGAAGCUCCUAGUUCUUGCCUUACUCUUCAACCGUUUCGUUCUGAAUGGAAAAUAAUGAGUGAGAGGCUUAAUAUUUAUAAGAAAGUUUCAAACUGAAUUUAGGUUGAAAUUUUGGCUUAAACCGCUUAAAAAGUGAAGAAAAAAAAUCAAUUCUGACUCGCUCUCAGCAUUCCCCAGGCGCAUGAUUAGGAGCAUAGGCAUAUUUUGACAUGCCCUGGUGCAUGGCUCAUACCCUGCGCACAUUUUGCAUGCCCUAGGUGCAUAGGUGCUACUUUCGGUGCGAAAUUGUUUGUUUCUUCGUCUUUUGGGUGAUUCCUUCUUAUAAGAUGUCUUGGAACUUGGAAACAUAAGUCCUUCCUUUAAAAUUUCUUCUGAGACCUCUUUAAUCUUCAUUCGUGGUCUUUACUAGUCUUCAAAUGUUUUGCUAAGCUGAUUUGCAUGAUUUCUUCUUGAACUACAUCAUAACACCCUAGAAUUGCUAUGUUUCGGGGGAAACUAUAGUUGCAUGAUUCAAUAUAGAAAACAUUACACUGUCCCGAAAACCAUAAGCAAUUGUUCUAAUAAUUCUUUAUUUUUGAUGAAAAAUGACAAAAAAAUACUUGAAAAACAUGUUAUGAAUAAUGUAAGACUGCCUAUCAUCACCUUCUCUGAACCCUUUACUUACUUGGGCGUCGGAGCAAUUGUAGGUACACAAACCCCCCUUGUCUCACUGGACUGAUGAUCAACCUACCUCACCAGAAUCACCGUAGUUCAAGAGAACCUGGCUCACUGCAGAUCAACCUUUGAAGGUGGCAGAUUCAAGCAACUCAACCAUCCUCUUAUAACCAACCGGAUCAACAAUAAUAUACUUGUGUAAAAUAACAAUACACAUUUGACCAUGUCAAAGAAACAUAAAUAAAAGUUUGAAGGAAAUUAUAAGAGUACUAAUAUUAUGAUGUUCAAAUUUAGUUAUACGGAUACAAGUUGUAUAUAAUUAUUCUUCAACUUAUUUUUAUAUUUACAAGCAUUUACAAGAACCAUCAAUACACCACACAAUUUGUGAAAGUUCACACAUAUCUACCGGGCAAUCAACUCGUGUUUUGCAUGGAAUAAUAUUUGGAAUGUC
rnacentral:lncRNA from 1 species